GAUCCUGGCUCAGAGCGAACGCUAGCGGGAUGCCUCAAACAUGCAAGUCGCACGGGAACGGCUUCGGCCUAGUACAGUGGCGCACGGGUGCGUAACACGUAACUAACGUCCCUUUUCGCUGGGGAUAACUCCGGGAAACCGGAGCUAAUACCGAAUGAGCUGUCCGAGACUGCGGUCUUGGCCAGCAAAGCCGUAAGGCGCGAAGAGAUCGGGUUGCGUCCUAUUAGCUAGUUGGUAAGGUAAUGGCUUACCAAGGCUACGAUAGGUAGCUGGUCUGAGAGGAUGAUCAGCCACACUGGAACUGAAACACGGGCCAGACUCCUACGGGAGGCAGCAGUGGGGAAUCUUGCACAAUGGGGGAAACCCUGAUGCAGCGACGCCGCAUGAGCGAUGAAGCCUUCGGGGUGUAAAGCUCUUUCGGCAGGGACGAUAAUGACGGUACCUGCAGAAGCAGCUGCGGCUAA
rnacentral:rRNA from 1 species